ACUGAUGGAUGAUGACCUUCCCAACAGCAAGACUUAUCAUAGUGGAUAACUGUCACUGAUCAGUAAACUUUGAUGUUUUGGUGGCAGUACCCUGUAGGAGACUCAGAUAAAGUCAUGUGGAUGUGCUUGACAUGAAUGACAAGGAGCCCUCAGGAAAUAAAAGUAUUGAAGAGACAUAUCCUUGUGAUCAUGUUUGGAAAAAGACAAAGAAAGAUGACAAUGCAGAAAGCCAGAUCUGCACACACAAGCACAUCCAGUUUACAAUGUUAUAAUUUGUUAUUAUCCAGAACAAUUUUUUUUAGAUAUUUGUUUUGGAAAUGGGUGUCUGAGUUGUAAUAGGGUAUGGGGUCGCCCACUCAGACACGUGGGUUUCCUCCGGGCACUCCGGUUUCCUCCCACACUGACCCCCUUCUUUUUCUCUAUGUCGAAGAGAUAAUUGUGUUAUCUUUAUUAUUUUAUGUAAAUAUCUUUUAUCAUCUAAUCAUUAUUUUGCUGUAAUAAUGUUAUUUCAUGUUAUCGUCUAAUACAUUUUAAAAUUGUUUAGAUGAAGUAGUUGAAGGCUAGUUGUAAGUAGACCUUGUCGAUACCCUGGGGCAUUACUGGUUGGAACUUCAAGGUUCCUUCGCCGCUACGGUUGCCAGGCUGGCCUGGGGAGGAGGGGUUGAAAACGCGACUAGCUGUAGGCUCCUUUGUCUUUCAAAAAUCUUUCUUUUUUUUCUUAUCCAACAUCAAAAAAAUGAUGUGUAAAUGUU